AAAGACUAAGUUAUUUAUUCUUUCCACGGUUUAAUAUGUCGUGGCAAAUGUUGCUUUCCUUUGCCAUGUUGCUGAAGAAAGAGGUGCGUGCCCUUGAGCGUGGCAAGCUGAUGUAAGAGACGGGUCUUCUCAAGAUCGGGACGCCUUCAUGGUCAUUGUCACGAGUUCCGACCCAAAUGCUAUUUCUUGACCGCUGCAGACUUUUCUGUAAGUGUUAUGAUUCGGUUCAGUGUUUAGGUGUCUCUCAGCAGUUGUGCACAAAGCUAAAUCUCAUGAUAUUUGUUAUAUUUUUUUAGAUCGUUUAUCUCGUUCGUCUGGCGGAAUGCAGAGGAGUUAACUUGGAGGAACGUCUGUGGCAGCAGUGGCGGGGCGGACAUCGGGACAAUCCAUGUUUACUAGCAAACACGAUUAUAAAUCGAUGACGGAAUUUUUUGAGGUUCGCCAUCGCGGCAAUAUUGAAUUGCCGCCAUGCGUAAAGGACUUACUGAACUGCUGGGAAGUCGUGAACACUGACGUGUUUUGUUCAACCAACGAAAAACAUAAACUUGUACGUUUUGACACUAUUUGUAAUGACUUAAGAUUCCAGUGCCGCGAGACUGAGGGCUACAGUCCGUUCCCAGAGGAGAGUGAGAGGGAACGUUUCUAUCAUUACUGUUAUGAUUCUAAGCAAAUAGAACCCCAGUGAGACGAUCAUGGCAAAGUGAUGGAAACUGAGAAACGGUUAAAUCAAAAGUUAAAUUUAAUUAUGGGUCAUUCUUAUAUAAAUCAAUGCAUUCCCAAAAUAAGUUCUUAUUGAGCAUCCAUCCGUAAGUAGAAAAUUGACAAACUAUUUUAAUAGACAAUAGAGAUGGAAGCUCAAUAACACCUUAUUGUGUGACUGCAUUGAUAUGUAUGUUAAGAGGGGUAAAAAAUAGGUGUCUCAGACGUGAAAAUAAAUAA